rnacentral:tRNA from 1 species
CAGGUGGGAAGCUGGCCCGGUUUGCUGCCUUCUUUGGGAGAAGGACUUUCUGCGUUCAAAUCGCAGUCACCUGA